UCUAUAAUAGCUUAGCGGUAGAGCAUUUGAUUGUUAAUGAAGGCGUCAACAGUUAGAAUCUGAAAUGCAGAG